UAAGUAUGUAUGUGCAUACAUAUAUACGAUCAUAUUUAUGCUAUGCGCUUGACUGUAUAUAUUUAUAUUUGUUUAGACUUGCAACAGAGUGUUACAAGUUGAGUUAUGUAUAUAAGUGUAUAAAUACACUACAAGCUUCUCCAACCAUUCUGAACAGUAUCAACAACGGAAUCUAUAUAUCCGUCUCUCUGUUUAUACUUUGAACCCAUCGAUAAUAGAUAAUGGAUAAAAAGUUUCAUUUUUUGAGCAAAUUUAUGUAACACAUAGAAGGAAGUCUCUCCGACGCCGUAAAUAUUAACGCAAGGAUUUCAGAGCCUAUAAGAACUAGGACUUGUGUUGCAAAUCUUUUAAAAUCUAGUGUCACCAAAUUAGCUUCUAGAAUGGUAUAUACAGGUCAAGUAUAGUAUAUACAGUAAGUAGUAUAUACGCAAGGUUGCCGGCCUGCUAUGGAACGUGACAACGGACGCCAUCGAACGCGAUCUCAGCUUAACAAAGGUCGCAGAUCAGUUAAACUGCUUCAGCAGCAGCCGAUACGCCGAAAAGCUGAUGAAGCAGCCGAACGUGGCCGCCAGGGUCCUGGCUGACCCCAUCAGAGAGAGGCGCCUCCAAAGGCUACACCCCGACGACCUACCUUCGAGGCUUAUUAUUUAAACAUAUCCUUCCCCAUCAUUGCAAAUAAAUUCAUUGUAAAUAUCAUAUAAGUUACACACUAGUAACUAUACAUUCUUCCCUUAGUUAAUCGCUUGGUAGAGAUCAGAAGGCACUGAUAUAACAAGCAAAAUAAAACAUAUAAAAAAAUAAAAAGAUUGUUAAAUCGAUAAACAGCA